GGAGCCGUCAAACAGGCUUUGAUCCGGAGAUGUCCGAAUGGGGAAACCCACCCGCAAGGGUAUCCCACGCUGAAUACAUAGGCGUGUGGAGGCGAACCUGGUGAACUGAAACAUCUAAGUAGCCACAGGAAAGGAAAGCAAUAGCGACUCCGUGAGUAGCGGCGAGCGAAAGCGGAUGAACCAGCGGAGCGAGCGAACCGGUUGGAAUGCCGGGCCAAAGAAGGUGAAAGCCCUGUAACCGCGUGCUGGGGAUGCCCUCGAGUAGAUUCGGGCUCGUGGAACCCGGAUUGAAGAUGGGGAGUCCACUCUCCAAGGCUAAGCACUCCUUGACGACCGAUAGCGAAGAAGUAAGGCGACUGAAAGAUGAAAAGCACCCCGACGAGGGGAAUGAAAGAGUACCUGAAACCGUGUGCUUACAAGCGGUCGGAGCCCCGUAAGGGGUGACGGCGUGCCUUUUGCAUAAUGAGCCCGCGAGUUAGUCUGUACGGCGAGCCUAAGGCCUACCGGGCCGGAGGCGGAGCGAAAGCGAGUCUGAUAAGGGCGUCAAGUCGUACGGGCUAGACACGAAACCUUGUGAUCUACCGUUGGCCAGACUGAAGGACGGGUAACUCCGUCUGGAGGGUCGAACGCGUGAACGUUGAAAAGUUCUGCGAUGAGCUGACGGGAGGACUAAAAGUGUAAUCAAACUGGGAGAUAGCUUGUUCUUUCCGAAAUACCUUUAGGGGUAGCCUCGCGUGUGGUUUGUGGAGGUAGAGCUACUGGAUGGACUUAGGGGCCUACCCGGUCACCUGGUCCAACCAAACUCCGAAUGCCACAGACAUAAGCGCGGGAGAAAGACUUCGAGUGACAAUAUCCGAGGUCAAGAGGAGAAAAAUCCUGACCGCCAGCUAAGGCCCCGAAUCAAUGCUCAGUUCGUAAGGAAGUCAGACUGCUGAGACAUCCAGGAUGUUGGCUUAGAAGCAGCCAUCAUUUAAAGAGUGCGUAACAGCUCACUGGACGAGGAGUUUGGCGCCGAAAAUUAUCGGGAAUAAGCAUUGAGCCGAAGCUGCGGACUCGCAAGAGUGGUAGGAAAGCGUUGCUGGGGCGGAGAAGUGGUCCGGGAACGGUCCAUGGAGCGUCAGCAAGUGAACAUGCAGGCUUGAGUAACGAUAAAGCAGGUGAAAAUCCUGCUCGCCGUAAGCCUAAGGUUUCCUGGGGAAGGUAAAUCCGCCCAGGGUUAGCCGGGACCUAAGACGAGGCCGACAGGCGUAGUCGAUGGAAAUCAGGUCAAUAUUCCUGAGCCAAUGCCCAAUAAGGUGCGGACUUCUGGACUCUGCUGGAGGUGUCAGAUCACCAGGCCGUAAGGCCGUUGCAGAGAAAGGGAGUUCCUCGAAAAGCCGGGCGAGCCCGUACUAAAACUGACACAGGUAGGCGAGGCGAAUAGCCUCAGGCGCUCGAGAGAACGGUCGUGAAGGAACUAGGCAAGUUAACCCCGUAAGUUCGCGAUAAGGGGGCCCUACCCGUAAGGGAGGGCGCAGAGAAAAGGCUCUGGGAACUGUUUAUCAAAAACACAGCUCUGUGCGAAGACGCAAGUCGAUGUAUACAGAGUGACGCUUGCCCGAUACCGGAAUGUCAAGAGAGCGGGUCAGAGCAAUCGAAGCUCGCGAUCUAAGCACCGGUGAAUGGCGGCCGUAACUAUGACGGUCCUAAGGUAGCGAAGUUCCUUGUCGGGUAAGUUCCGACGCGCAUGAAUAGCGUAAUCACUGGAGCACUGUCUCCACGACCGACGUCGUAUCGUGACUGGGAAACAGAUCGGAAGAGCACACGUCUGA
rnacentral:rRNA from 1 species